rnacentral:rRNA from 1 species
UACGUAGGGGGCAAGCGUUGUCCGGAAUCAUUGGGCGUAAAGAGCGCGUAGGCGGCCCUGUAAGUCCGCUGUGAAAGUCAAGGGCUCAACCCUUGAAUGCCGGUGGAUACUGCAGGGCUAGAGUCCGGAAGAGGCGAGUGGAAUUCCUGGUGUAGCGGUGAAAUGCGCAGAUAUCUGGAGAAACACCGGUGGCGAAGGCGGCAUCCUGGACCGACACUGACGCUGAGGAGCGAAAGCCAGGGGAGCAAAGCGGG